rnacentral:piRNA from 1 species
UAGCAUCUAGCAUGAUGUUGGGUACUCGGA